rnacentral:rRNA from 1 species
GACGAACGCUGGCGGCGUGCUUAACACAUGCAAGUCGAACGGAAAGGCCCUGCUUGCAGGGUACUCGAGUGGCGAACGGGUGAGUAACACGUGGGUGAUCUGCCCUGCACUUCGGGAUAAGCCUGGGAAACUGGGUCUAAUACCGGAUAGGAGCCAUUUUUAGUGUGAUGGUUGGAAAGUUUUUUCGGUGUAGGAUGAGCUCGCGGCCUAUCAGCUUGUUGGUGGGGUAAUGGCCUACCAAGGCGGCGACGGGUAGCCGGCCUGAGAGGGUGGACGGCCACAUUGGGACUGAGAUACGGCCCAGACUCCUACGGGAGGCAGCAGUGGGGAAUAUUGCACAAUGGGCGCAAGCCUGAUGCAGCGACGCCGCGUGGGGGAUGACGGCCUUCGGGUUGUAAACUCCUUUCGCUAGGGACGAAGCUUUUUGUGACAGUACCUAGAUAAGAAGCACCGGCUAACUACGUG